UGUGUGUGUGUGUGUGUGUGUGUGUGUGUGUGUUAGUAGUUUGGACUUGAACUCAGGUUCAGGGGAGUUCAGUGACUAACUGAAGACUCUCUCUCUCUGUGUCUCCGUCAAUCUAGAAAAGUCUUGAAUUCAAUUUCCUCAACAAACAAAAGUGAUUUCACGUCUUUAAUAUUUAUUUUUACCUCCUGCAGCGACAUCAUAUCUCUGUCAGCUCGGUCCCGUGAACUGAUUAACGACAUCACAGAUCAGCAGCAGCAGAAACGCUGAUACGCCCAGUGAGACAUGUGGAGCAGAUUAGACACGGAGGGGCCGAGCUGAUGACCUCGUGGCAGGUCAGUGACCUAUAGCAACCUGAAAACACCUCACUUGACCUCUUGACCUGACCUCUCGCCCGCCGCGGUGCUCACCCUGCGGGGGGGGGGGGGGGGGGGGGCUCCUCCC